AGUUAGAUUUGGUAAGCUUUCUCUAGAAGUAUUAACAUGGUUGCAAAUAAGAAGUUUUGGUAACAUGUUUCUUUAACUUUUUCUUCUAGGAUGGGACAGUGACAUGUCAUCCAUUUUGAUCCUGGUGUGCCUCCUGCCACAGUCACCUCCUGGAUACAAGAGACCAGGAAAACUCUCAGCCAGACAAGCCAGUGAACAUCUUGUGAAGUUUGUCAAGACAAGAACCAGCAUCAAGGAGCACCUUGAAGGCAUCGCAGAGAGCUGUCAACCAUACCUGCUUGCAGUAAGGACUCAGAGGAGCGUGAUUUGAUGAGCUUUUUAAAGCUCACUUUAUGUUUGGCACUUCAUUUGAUCAUGAUCUGGUCAAUGUGUACAAGAGACGGACCUCAUGUUAUUUAUGUAGAAGAGCUUUACUGUUCCAGAGCUUUUCAUUUCGAGGUGUCAUACAGUCAUGAAGACGCAAAUGUUUAAAUUGUUCCAUGCUGUUUUCUGUGAACAAUAAAAAAUGGCUGUCCAAAUUCUGA